UACGAAGGGGGCUAGCGUUGCUCGGAAUGACUGGGCGUAAAGGGCGCGUAGGCGGUUUGCACAGUCAGAUGUGAAAUUCCUGGGCUCAACCUGGGGGCUGCAUUUGAUACGUGUAGACUUGAGUGGGGGAAGAGGGUCGUGGAAUUCCCAGUGUAGAGGUGAAAUUCGUAGAUAUUGGGAAGAACACCGGUGGCGAAGGCGGCGACCUGGUCCUUGACUGACGCUGAGGCGCGAAAGCGUGGGGAGCGAACAGG
rnacentral:rRNA from 1 species